rnacentral:rRNA from 1 species
GCGGAGGAAAAGAAACCAACAGGGAUUGCCCUAGUAACGGCGAGUGAAGCGGCAACAGCUCAAAUUUGAAAUCUGGCGCAAGCCCGAGUUGUAAUUUGUAGAGGAUGCUUCUGGGUAGCGACCGAUCUAAGUUCCUUGGAACAGGACGUCAUAGAGGGUGAGAAUCCCGUAUGUGACCGGCCCGCACCCUUUACGUAGCUCCUUCGACGAGUCGAGUUGUUUGGGAAUGCAGCUCUAAAUGGGAGGUAAAUUUCUUCUAAAGCUAAAUACCGGCCAGAGACCGAUAGCGCACAAGUAGAGUGAUCGAAAGAUGAAAAGUACUUUGGAAAGAGAGUUAAAAAGCACGUGAAAUUGUUGAAAGGGAAGCGCCUGCAACCAGACUUCGCGGCAGUGUUCCGCCGGUCUUCUGACCGGUUCAUUCUCUGUCGCGAGGCCAUCAUCGUCUGGGCCCGCCGGAUAAGACCUGAGGAAUGUGGCUCCCCCUCGGGGGAGUGUUAUAGCCUCUGGUGAUGCGGCGUGGCUCGGGCGAGGUCCGCGCUUCGGCAAGGAUGAUGGCGUAAUGGUUGUCGGCGGCCCGUCUUGAAACACGGACCAAGGAGUCUAACAUCUAUGCGAGUGUUCGGGUGUCAAACCCCUACGCGUAAUGAAAGUGAACGGAGGUGGGAACCGCAAGGUGCACCAUCGACCGAUCCUGAUGUCCUCGGAUGGAUUUGAGUAAGAGCAUAGCUGUUGGGACCCGAAAGAUGGUGAACUAUGCCUGAAUAGGGUGAAGCCAGAGGAAACUCUGGUGGAGGCUCGCAGCGGUUCUGACGUGCAAAUCGAUCGUCAAAUUUGGGUAUAGGGGCGAAAGACUAAUCGAACCAUCUAGUUGCUGGUCUGC